CCCUUAGAUGUUCUGGGCCGCACGCGCGCUACACUGACUGCUCCAACAAGUUACCUGGGCUGACAAGCAUCCGGGAAAUCUUGCAAAGGCAGUCGUGAUGGGGAUAGAUUCUUGUAAUUUUUGAUCUUCAACGAGGAAUUCCUAGUAAACGCAAGUCAUCAGCUUGCAUUGAUUACGUCCCUGCCCUUUGUACACACCGCCCGUCGCAUCUACCGAUUGAAUGGAGAGGCAAAAUCUUCGGACCGUGACGCUUGGGAGUCAAAUCUCGGGCUGUCGUGGGAAGUGGAUUAAACCUUUCUAUUUAGAGGAAGGUACAGUCGUAACA
rnacentral:rRNA from 1 species